rnacentral:rRNA from 1 species
AUACGGAGGGUGCAAGCGUUACUCGGAAUCACUGGGCGUAAAGCGCGCGCAGGCGGUCUUUUAAGUUGGAUGUGAAAGCCUACGGCUCAACCGUAGAACUGCAUCCAAAACUAUUAGACUAGAGUGUGGGAGAGGAAGAUGGAAUUAGUUGUGUAGGGGUAAAAUCCGUAGAGAUAACUAGGAAUACCAAAAGCGAAGGCAAUCUUCUGGAACACUACUGACGCUGAGGCGCGAAAGCGUGGGGAGCAAACGGAAUUAGAAACCCCUGUAGUCC